CAUUUGGUUGGUUUAUAUGGGAUUUUUGAUGUUGUAUUAUUAGCCUUAGCGUUCGGGUAUAGGAGAGAUACCUGAGCGUGGCGGUAACACCCAUUUCUUUUGGUUAGUUAAUGCUUCCGAUAUGUUAUUAGUGAAUAU